GUGGGUAGUUUGACUGGGGCGGUCUCCUCCCAAAGAGUAACGGAGGAGCACGAAGGUUAGCUAAUCCUGGUCGGACAUCAGGAGGUUAGUGCAAUGGCAUAAGCUAGCUUGACUGCGAGCGUGACGGCGCGAGCAGGUGCGAAAGCAGGUCAUAGUGAUCCGGUGGUUCUGAAUGGAAGGGCCAUCGCUCAACGGAUAAAAGGUACUCCGGGGAUAACAGGCUGAUACCGCCCAAGAGUUCAUAUCGACGGCGGUGUUUGGCACCUCGAUGUCGGCUCAUCACAUCCUGGGGCUGAAGUAGGUCCCAAGGGUAUGGCUGUUCGCCAUUUAAAGUGGUACGCGAGCUGGGUUUAGAACGUCGUGAGACAGUUCGGUCCCUAUCUGCCGUGGGCGCUGGAGAAUUGAGGGGGGCUGCUCCUAGUACGAGAGGACCGGAGUGGACGCAUCACUGGUGUUCGGGUUGUCAUGCCAAUGGCAUUGCCCGGUAGCUAAAUGCGGAAGAGAUAAGUGCUGAAAGCAUCUAAGCACGAAACUUGCCCCGAGAUGAGUUCUCCCUGAGACUUUAAGUCUCCUGAAGGAACGUUAAAGACGAUGACGUUGAUAGGUCGGGUGUGUAAGCGUAGCGAUAC
rnacentral:rRNA from 1 species